rnacentral:rRNA from 1 species
AUGGUCACUUCCCUAUGUUUAGUUCAGCGCCAUUCUUUUCUCUUAUUCAUUUUGGUAAAAAGAAAUCUCUCACUAUCAAAUGUAUUAUGUAAUCCUUUUUUGCUCAGCAGCAGUAAAUUUCAUAGAGGUGAUGUAAUAUAUAAUGUCAUUAUUGCUGUAGAAGUUGCAGAAGUGUAUGCUGACUCUACUCGAAUGAUUAUUAUCCCUACAUGCAUAACAUAUUAUAAAGAUAUCUUCCUAUGUGCCCCUUUUGUAAGGAUGCAUGCUGACGGGUGCACAUCGUUUCUAGCUUCUUUUGGUGCAUCUUUUAUCCUGCUUCAGCUGGUUAGCCUGAAUCCUCUUUUCUCCUGUUUCAGUUGA